rnacentral:piRNA from 1 species
UACCUCCCAGACGGUGUUUUCAACUGGGC